CCCCUGUUUUUUGAAACCUUUGCCCCCUAUAUUGGAGGUGCCGGUUCGCCGGCUAUGGAAAUAAACGGUCGUCGCAAUAAACCAUUCGGACCCGGGGGCGGUACCCGGCGCCUCCACCAAAGCCCACCGAUUGACGGGCUUCUGCCUGCAGAGAAGCGGGUUUUGGCGGGGGCGAAAUAGGAUCGACGAGGGCGUAAAGGGCGAACUUUUUCCCGGUAUUGUUCCGCCGUUAUCGGGCUACUGCAAUAGUUGCCAACGACAACUUUGCUCCGGUUGCUCAGGCUGCGUAACGCAGUUUGAAAGACCAUCUUAAAGUCCUAACGGGUUAAGCUCCGUUAGGCGGGGUUCGGAGGCACCUGGCAACAGAAGCCUCCACU
rnacentral:tmRNA from 1 species